UAAGAUUUUGUUUUUUAGAACAGUUUUAAGUGUACAGAAAAAUUGAGCAGAAAGUAUAGAGACCUCACAUAUAUCCCUUGCACACUGUUCCCCUAUUUUUAACAUCUUGCACUAGUGUGGCUCAUUUGUUAUAAUUGAUGACCCAAUAUUAUAUAUUAUCAUUAAUGAAAAACUGUAGUUUAACAUUGUUUUCUUUCACUGUGUUGUACAGUUUCUAUGGUUUUUACAAAUGCAUAAUGUCAUUUAUUCAGCAUUAAAAUAUCAUACAGCAUAGUUUCCCCAUUCUAAAAAUCUCCUGUGCUUCAUCUAUGUAUUCAUCCCUCUUCCCACUCCACCUGAACCUCUGUCAACCACAGACGGACAAACUCUUUAAUAUUGUUUUAUCCAGGAUGUGGGUUAGUUGAAAUCACACCAUAUGUAGCCUUGUAGAUUGUCUUUGUUCACUUAGUAAUAUGCCUUUAAGUUUCCUCCAUGUCUCUUUGUGGCUUGAUAGUGCAUUUCUUUUGACCACUGAAUAAUUUUCCAUUGUAUAGAUGUACCAAAGUUUGUUUAUUCAUUCACCCAUUGUAGGACAUCUUUUUUUUUCCCCAGUUUGGGUGAUUAUGAAUAAAGAUUCUACAAACAUACAUUCUAGAAGAUCUAAGGUUGCUGCCACUGUUUUUCUACAGAUCUCCAUCUCACUAUCUUCAGUAUACCUCUCUAGUAAAAACAAUUUUCUUGAUAGAUUUGCUACUCCCCGUUAACGAAGUACUUUCCUUCCUUUUUUCUUAGGAUGCAUUCUGUUUCCUGAGUUUUGUGUUUGUGAUGUUUAAUUUUAGUCUCCACUUUACUGGAUCAAGGGUUACCAAGAUAAUUGGCUAACCAUUAUUUCUGGGUUUGCCUGUGAGGCUGUUUCUGGAAGAUAUGAGCAUUUGAAGUGGUAGAGAGCAAAGCCAAUUGCCCUUCACAAUACAAGUGAGAAUAGGCACCAUCCAAUCCACUGAGGGCAUGAAUAGAACAAAAGGGCAGAAGAAGGGAGAUGUUUUUCUAUCUCUGCCUGACUGCUUGAGCUGGGACAUCAGUCUUCUUCUGUCUUUGGACCAGAACUUACAUCAUUGGCCCUCUUAUUCUUAGAGUUACACCACCAGCUUUCCUGAGUCUCCUGGUUGCAGAAGGCAGAUCAUGUGACAGCCUCCAUAAUUAAGAGAGUCAAUUCCUUAUUAUAAAUAUCUUUCUAUAUAUCUGUACCUGUAUUCUAUCUAUGUCUAUAUAUCUAUCUAUAACCUAUUGGUUCUGAUUCUCUGGAGAACCCUAAUACAGUGUUCUUCUUUUUCCUUUGUUUGUUUUAUAAGAGUAUAUUUUCCAGUAGCUUCCUAAGAAAGUGUUUAUGGAAAAAUAUAUUUUUUUUAUUGCAUCAAUGUCUGAAAAUAUCUUUUUUGUACUCUUACAUUAAAUGAACAGUUUAUCUAGAUAAAUUUUAGUUUCUUCUGUUCAUGUAUAUUUGACUUGUAGUAUUGCUGUUGAGAAUUCUGUUAUUCACUUAUCUGAUGUUUUGUGAUCUCUCAUUUUUUCUCUUUGUGAGUUUUUAGGAUAUCUUUUAAUAACUGAUGUUUUGAAAUAUGUACAAUAUGCCUUGCUUGGGUUUGUUUAUUGAAAGAACUUUCAAUGAAAGCCCAGAAUAAUCAGGGGGAAAAUGUGUUGUAUUCUUUCUUUGAUAAUUUCUUCCCUUUUUGCUUCUCUAUUUCUUUGUAUGUAUAAUUUAGAAGUUAGAGCACGUGGGCUGAUCAUCUAAUUCUAUAACUUUUUACUUUCUAUUAUAACUUUUUCUGUUAACACUUUUUAGGAUUUUGUGUAGUCUAUUUCAGUUUCCUUUUUAAAUUUUGGAUAGCAUAUUUUUAAUUAUCAGGAGUCUUAAUUACCUUUGAUGUUCCAUUUUAUAGCUCUCAAUUCUUUUUAGUAUCUUCUUUCUCUACGAGGUAAUUAACAAUAGUUUUACUUACCUUUUUAUUCUUUGCCCAGCAAUGUCUUUAUUUCAUCUAAGUUCUUAUUUAGUCCUGCCCCUUUCUUUAGUCUUUAAGCUAUGUGUGAUGAAGUAUGCAACAAGUUAACGUGGAUCGAGAACUCUGCAUGUGAGAAGGGUUUGUUAACUUGUGGGAUUCUCCUCUGGGUGAUUUGGUGGCAAGCUAUUUCUUCUACUGGAAUGAUGCUAAAAUGUGUGUGUGUGCUGCUUUUGUUUUCAAUUUCUUCAGAUAAAAAUUGUUUAUAUCCAGAAGGUUGAAUCCUUCUUAGUGAGAGUUCUGGUAGGGUGGGGAAGGAAAUUGUAGACUCUAAUAUGCAAAAUUUUUAAUAUUUUUUUUAAUUUCUAGAGCUGAGCCACCCCUUCAUCUUUACUUUAUUUGCCUGUUGUCUAAGUCUCAGGCAUGAAAUUUCCCUUUCCUCUCCAGCACACAGUAGGUGAAAAGGGGCUAAAAGCUCCGACUUUUCUUGAAGCCCAGUUUCGACUGAAUCUCUUUAUAUUUUCUGCCUCAGCAUUCUGCUUUCUCUAGACCUCACUCUUGAGUUUAUCUGUAAUUCUCUCUACAUUUGUUCACUGUUCAGUAUUUUUUCCAAAGAUCUCGAUUUUGUUAAUUCACUUGUUACUUGUUUCCCAUAUUCAAAAAUUUGUUGUAAUCUUUUGUCUACUGUUGUCUCUUCUUGUACCCUUUUUGUUCUUGUUAGUUUAAGCAUUCAAAAAUUACUUUACUUUCAUUUUAGUUAAGAUUCAAGGGUUAAGGGAUAAGCACAUAUAGGUCAACAACAAUGUUAAAAUAAAGGAGGCUCUCUGGUUCUUUUUCUUGGCAGACCUUUUGUGGUUCUCAUCUUUCCUUUCCUCUGGACACAACCACUCUUAUUAAAUAGAUUUAAACAUCAUAUUUGUCAAUAAACUGCAUAAUACUGUGAACUAUUUUAAAUCGAAUGACAUUUUUGACAAUGAAUGAAUUCAACUGAAUGUUAUGAGACAGCAUUUGAUGUAAUUAUUUCAUUAAUGAAAAUGAAGUAUUCAAUAUUGAGGGACUUGAAUACAUGUUGAUGGAUACUGUGGAUAAGAACUAUGGCUCAAAGCCAGCUCAGGGCAAUUCACAUUUUCAAAUAAUGAAAUGAAGUAUUUUCAUUGCUUUUUUUUCUUUUUUUUUUUCUCUAGCUUUGCAUCUUGAUUGAAGCAAAGACAUCUGUCUUUUCCCAGAUAGCAAGAACUUUGGUUGCUGUGGCAACAUAUUGACUGGGGAAUUUAAAAAUAAAGGUAAUAAAUGUGGGAGGUAUGCAGAAAUCAGAAAAUAUUCUACUCACCAAGAAUGUGGCAAGUUACAACCACCAAAUGAAAAUAGAAACAGAAUAGAAAUACCAAGAUAAGGGACAACUAAGAGACUAAGGAAAUAUGACAGGGACAAACUCCCCUUCACUUUACAGGCUGCCUAGUCCACUCACAUGGAGGCUACUUGUGAAGCCAGAUAACGCACACAGAUAUGCUGAAUUCUUGGAGUCUGGCAGCAAAGGAGGAGUUUGCUAUUUCUGAGGAGCUAAUCCAUGAGGAGAAAGGAGACAGUUAACAGCACCUAAGAGAACUCCAAUACUCAAAACUGUGGAAGUUGUACUCCUGUGUGUUUCUGAGACAGUUUUAUUUUUCCGGAUGAAAAAAGGGUUGUCUGGCCUAUGCUAACGCCAUCUCUGUUGGUAAUACAUGGAGUAUCCUGAUGGAUUUGGAAGUUUAAAUCAUGAAAAAUUGAGGGAGGAAGAUUAGAGCAGAGUUCAAGACCAGGAACGCUAAGGAAGGGGCACAGCAUUGUGGGAAAGGAUGUGAGAAUCCAGCAGAAGUGCUUACUGCAGGCACGGACCACUGUGGAAAAGCAUCCAGAGAUGCUUCUGUGGUUGUCUGUCCUGGCUAAAGACUCCCAAAUAAUAUUAGAGUUUGGAGAUGAAGGUUAAUGGACUGAUGGUGAUGGAAAAGAUAGCUCAGAGAUAUUUCAAGCAGGCUGCAAGAAUCUCCCAAUUUCGUCCAUCACAAAUCCAUCGUUGAUCCUGGAUGCAGGCUUCAGCUGGCAAAGGAAAGGAAAUACAGAGUUCAAAGCAAGUUUUAUUGUUAAGAUUACAUAGCAUCCUUCGGUUCUCCAAUUUGACUCUGGGAAGCUCUGUUCCCAAGCUACCAAGUGUCUGAGACUACACCUACUUGCUCAAUAGCUUAUCAUGACUAAUGACCAUGGAUGAUGUCCCUGAAGACAAGAGUUAAGACCAAAGGAAGACCUAUAACAUGGAAGAUCAUGAUCCAUCUGCACUCUUGGUGAGAGAAGCAAAGAAGUUAUCUUAGAAAGAAAAUAAUUGAAGCUACUAUCAUGUAGUAGAUGUGCACGGGUCAGUCCACAGAUACACAUUUUGGAUAUGCCACCUAGAGAUGAUGUAAGUGUUGUCAAGUUUCCUUUCCUGGAUUUUAUGUUCUUCAGGAUGAGAAACAGAAGUACAUAAUUUGGCAAAAAGAAAAGUGAUUCUCCUUUUGCCUAAGAGGCAAAUGUUUUAGUGAUGUGCACAAUGAAAACACUACAAAUUCCAACUGGUAUGUGAUGCUGUUCUAAAUGUGGGAGUGACAGAGAUGGAGUUGAGAUGUUGUUGAUCACAGCAGGAAAUGUCAUCAUAAGAAUUUUGUAAAUGAAGAUUUAAUAAGUUCAUGUGGAUAGACCACUUAGAACACUGCCUUCCACAGAGCAGAUCCGAGUUUUGCUGGAUACAAAAUUCUCGGUUGGCAGUUAUGCUGUUUAAGAAGGCUAAAGAUAGGACCACAAUCUCUUCUGGCUGGUAAAGUUUCUGCUGAGUACUUUUCUAUAUUUAUGAAAGAAAGUAAUAUAUUACCAUUAGAUGAAUUCUAAAAUUUGUCUCAAUUUUUAUACUAAAGAGUAUACUCUUUGUUUUAUAGAUGAAGAAGCUGAAAUCUAAAAUUGGUAGUGAAUUGUCCAAGGUCAGAUGCAUAAUAAAUGGCAGAAAUGUACUAAAAUCUAGAUUUUGAUUCCAUAACUAAUGUACCUUUCACAAUAGUUACUCACUUUGUUGCCUCGUAACAGUGGACACUUUAUAGCUCAUCACAAUGAAGAGUAAUUUGAACAUCCUUGGAUUUCCAAUUCUACUUUUUGACUCCAAUAGCAAUAAAAACUGAUAUCAUUUUAUAGUAAAAAACACUAUAGACAAAGUUCAUUGAGCCCUGAUAGCUCCUAUUUGUCAAUUUUAAUGUAGAUUUAUUAUGAAUAUGAUUGCCCUAAUGAAUAUCUGUUUAUUGUUGUCAAAGCCACAUAAUGAAGAACCUGUAAUGAUUUGGACAUUAAGCUGAGUCCAUGUUCAAUGAACAUGUCUAAUUUAUGUUAAUACAAACUGCAUCAGUAGAGUUGGAGCCAUGGAUUUUCGAUAAAGCAUGAACUAAAGCCAGUAUUUAAAUUUUUAAACAUAAUUUGUUUAUGUAAUUGUAUAAUGUGCCUUUUUCUUAUAAACUAUAACUAUUAACUUGUUCAUUUUUUGAAUGUAUACCUAAAAAAGCAUUUGCCACAUGCAAGACAGGAUUUGUAAGAAUAAUAUUAUUAAGUAUUAUUCUAAAGUUAUAUUUUACUACUCUUCCCAGUUUAAGGAUAUAGUGAGUACUAAUUUUUUUCCUGUAAAUUUUGUUUUAGCAUUUUGGGAUAUUUCUACUCACAAAUAUUUACUUCAAUAAUUAUGUCCUUAUGUAUUUUCUGUUAGUUUUCUGUGACUCAACUCUUUAAAUUUCUAAACUUAAGAACAUUUUGAGAAAACCACAAUUUUCAAUUUUAUAAAGAUAAGCACCUGCUUGUUUGUAAGCUUAUGAAAAUCUUAUACAAAACUUUUUGCUUGGCGGAGAUGUGGAGCAAGAUGGCAAGUAGAAUCCUUGACUGAUCAUUGUCCCUGUGGGAAUACCACAUUGAACAACACCCCCACACAGAAAAAAGCACUUUCAUAGGAACCAGAAAUCAGGUGAGUAGUCCGAGUACCUGGUUUUAACUUCAUAUCACUGAUAUAGUCACUUAAAAGAGUAAGAAAGAGAGUCUUGACUUACCAGUACCAAUCCUUUCCCAUCCCCCUGACAGUGGUUGAUUGUUGUGGAGACAGAAUCUUUGUGCUUGGGGAAGGGAGAGCACAAUGAUGGUGGGAUUUUGGCAUUGAAACUCAGAGUUGCCCUGUCAGAACAGUAGUACCAGGCAGAAUUCAGUUGUUUCCCACAGAAGGAGCAUUUAGACCAGUCCUAGCCAAAAGGGAAUCACCCAACUCAGUGGUCAGAAUUGAUUUCUAGGAAGCCUUGCCACAAUGUGCUAAAGUGUGCUGUGAUCCUAAAUAAACUUGCCAGGCAGUCUAUGCCACAAGGUCUGCAAUUCCUGGGAAAGUCCAGGUGCUAAGCUGGGCUCAGAGCCAGUGGUCUUGUGGGGCACAUAACCCAUUGAGACACCAGCUGGGACAGACAAGGGAGUUCUUGCACCACCCAUAACCCAACCCAAGGCAGUGCUGCUUGCAGCUCCAGGAGUUACUCUUGCCUUCUGCUUGAGGAACAGAGAAAGGAGAGUAAAAAGGGCUUUGUCUUACAACUUAGAAAUCAGCUUAAUCACAGUAGGAUAGGACACCAGGCAGAGUCCUGAGGCCCCGAUUCUAGGCCCUAGUUUAUUGGCAAUAUUUUUAUACACACACUGGGUCAGAAGGAAAUCUGCUGCCUUGAAGGGAAUUACCCAUCCCUGGCAGCAUCAUCGCUUACUAACUAAAGAGAUUUUGGGCCCUGAAUAAUCAGCAGCAGUACCCAGGAAGUACUCAUGGUAGUACUUGAGUGAGACUAAGAGACAUGCCAGAUUCAGAUGUGACACAGAACACUUUCAGCUGUAAUGGCUAUGGGGAGAGACGCCUGCUUGAGAAAAGAGGAGCAAGAGUAAAGGGGAAUUUGUCUUGAAGCUUAGGUAUCAGCUUGGCAACAGCGGGGUAGAGCAAAAAGGGAACUCUUGGGGUCUCUGAUUCCAGGACUUAGCUCUUGAGUGGCAUUUCUGGGCCACCUUGGACCAGAAGGGAGCCCACUUCCCUAAAAGGAGAGUACAAGGCCUGGCAACAUUCACCAUAAGCUUAACGAAGAGCCCUAUGGCCUUCAGUGGACAUUGGUGUUAGCCAGGAAUACUCACCAUAGCUCAGGGGCACUGGUGGUCAUGGAGAGAGACUCCUCUGCUUGUGAAAGUGGAGGGAAGAGUGGGAAAGAAUUUGUCUUAUGGCUUGGAUGCCAGCUCAGUUGCAGUAGAGUAGAAUGCCAGGUAGAGUCCUAAGAUUUCUGACUGCAGGCUCUGGCUCCCAGAUGGCAUCUCUGGACCUGCCCAGUGUCAGGAAGAACUUGUCACCCUGAAGGAAAGGAUACAAGCCUGGCUAGCUUUGCCACUUGGUGAUUGUAGCUUCCUCAGGCCUUGAACAAACAUAAGUGGUAGUGAGGCAGUGAUUACUGCAGACCUUAGGCAAGAACCUGUGCUGUGCUGGCUUCAGUUCUGACCCAGCACAGUCCCAGUGGUGGUGGUCACAGGGGUGCUUAUGAUACAACUCCACCAGCUCCAGGAAGCUCACCACAGACAGAGAGAGUCAAUUUUUUUUUUUUUUUUUUUUGUGCGGGGAGAAAGU
rnacentral:lncRNA from 1 species